rnacentral:rRNA from 1 species
AGAGUUUGAUCCUGGCUCAGGAUGAACGCUGGCGAGAUGCUUUACACAUGCAAGUCGUACGAGAGUUUGAAACUCAAGUGGCGGACGGGUGAGUAACACGUAAGAAUUUGCCUUUAGGAGGGGGAUUAAUACCCCAUAUGCUUUCGAGUGAAAUGGAUUUUUCCGCCUAGAGAGAAGCUUGCGGCUGAUUAGCUUGUUGGUGAGGUAAUGGCUUACUAAGGCGACGAUCAGUAUCUGGUUUGAGAGGACGAUCAGACACACUGGAACUGAGACACGGUCCAGACUCCUACGGGAGGCAGCAGUGGGGAAUUUUCCGCAAUGGGCGAAAGCCUGACGGAGCAAUCUCGCGUGAGGGAUGACUGCCUAUGGGUUGUAAACCUCUUUUUUCAGGGAGGAAUCAAUGACGUGUACCUGAAGAAUAAGCAUCGGCUAACUCCGUGCCAGCAGCCGCGGUAAGACGGAGGAUGCAAGUGUUAUCCGGAAUCACUGGGCGUAAAGCGUCUGUAGGUGGUUUAAUAAGUCAACUGUUAAAUCUUGAAGCUCAACUUCAAAAUCGGAGUCGAAACUAUUAGACUAGAGUAUAGUAGGGGUAAAGGGAAUUUCCAGUGGAGCGGUGAAAUGCGUAGAGAUUGGAAAGAACACCGAUGGCGAAGGCACUUUACUGGGCUAUUACUGACACUCAGAGACGAAAGCUAGGGUAGCAAAUGGGAUUAGAUACCCCAGUAGUCCUAGCCGUAAACAAUGGAUACUAGAUGUUGAACAGAUCGACCUGUGCAGUAUCAAAGCUAACGCGUUAAGUAUCCCGCCU